GAUGAACGCUGGCGGCGUGCCUAAUACAUGCAAGUCGAGCGAACAGACGAGGAGCUUGCUCCUUUGACGUUAGCGGCGGACGGGUGAGUAACACGUGGAUAACCUACCUAUAAGACUGGGAUAACUUCGGGAAACCGGAGCUAAUACCGGAUAACAUGUUGAACUGCAUGGUUCAACAGUGAAAGACGGUCUUGCUGUCACUUAUAGAUGGAUCCGCGCCGCAUUAGCUAGUUGGUAAGGUAACGGCUUACCAAGGCAACGAUGCGUAGCCGACCUGAGAGGGUGAUCGGCCACACUGGAACUGAGACACGGUCCAGACUCCUACGGGAGGCAGCAGUAGGGAAUCUUCCGCAAUGGGCGAAAGCCUGACGGAGCAACGCCGCGUGAGUGAAGAAGGUCUUCGGAUCGUAAAACUCUGUUAUUAGGGAAGAACAAAUGUGUAAGUAACUAUGCACGUCUUGACGGUACCUAAUCAGAAAGCCACGGCUAACUACGUG
rnacentral:rRNA from 1 species